UCCAACAUACCUAUCCUCCCUCAUACACUAGUAUGUCCCGUCGAGACCCCUGCGCUCAGCCCAAGACCUACGCCUAUCCUCUGCCCGGAUCCUCACCUCUGAUGCUCGCCUUCAAGACUUCUCCAGGGCUGCACCUAUUCUGUGGAACUCCCUUCCCUCCUCAAUCAGACUUUCAGCCAGCCUCCACUCCUUCAAAAAAUCUUUGAAAACUCAC